GUGCUUGAUUUUGCAGCACAUAUUUAAAAUUGAAACUAUUCAGAGAUCAUGUCCCCUGCAUGAGAAUGACAGGAAAAUUUGUGAUAUGUUCCAUUUUUUU
rnacentral:snRNA from 1 species